rnacentral:rRNA from 1 species
CUUGAACGCUGGCGGCAGGCUUAACACAUGCACGUCGAGCGAGCGGCGGCCGGGUGAGUAAUGUCUGGGGAUCUGCCCGAUGGAGGGGGAUAACUACUGGCAACGGUAGCUAAUACCGCAUACUAUCGGAUGUACCCAGAUGGGAUUAGCUAGGAGGUGGGGUAAAGGCUCACCUAGGCGACGAUCCCUAGCUGGUCUGAGAGGAUGAUCAGGCGAACUGGGACUGAGACACGGCCCAGACUCCUACGGGAGGCAGCAGUGGGGAAUAUUGCACAAUGGGCGAAAGCCUGAUGCAGCCAUGCCGCGUGUAGGAAGAAGGCCUUAGGGUUGUAAAGUACUUGCAGCGGGGAGGCGUUACCCGCAGAAGAAGCACCGGCGAACUCCGUGCCAGCAGCCGCGGUAAUAG